GAUCUGGGUCGCUUUUAGGCCUGACUUUCGUCUGUCUGAGACAGCUGCAAAUCCCACAAUGGGAUGCUGGGGAUCAACAUUUAAAUUAUCUGGUGGCGGUUGAUUUGUUUUUUUUCUUCCCUGCACCGUUGGGUUUUCUUGACAACUUUUAAUGUUUUGAGAGGGUUAUGUAAUUUGCAGAUCCUUUCCCUAUACCUAUACCUUCCCCCUUUGAAGAUUGGCAUCCAAAGCUAAGCAAUCCUCAAGUUUGUUAAACGUGAGGUUAUUAUAAAGUAGGACUUAUCUUGUUUGUAAUCAGCAUCUGGGUUCAGGCUGCAAAAUUAGGAGCAGAGAUCGGUGCAAAACUGCAAAUCAGGCCAGUGGGCUUCCCUGCGCCCCCCCCCCCCCUGCAGCUGGUGAAGGAGUGGAAAUAUAGUAAAAUCUGAGGCAGAAUUCUCAAUGCAUAUUUUGUAGGAUUUUAUAUUUCUUCACAGACAAGUCAAGAUAGGGACAUUUCAGGAAGGUUCAUUACCCUUUAUUUUUAAUCUUAAAACUUUGCUCUCUCUUUGUGCCUUUAGAGGGAAAAAAAACUAGGCUUGUGAAUCUGUAAUUUGAACUGUCAUCCAUUUAGAGUAUGCCUAUGAUUGAUUGAUAGGGUGGAAAAUUCCAUGAAACUGACAUUUAUUUUCUUUUCCAGUAGACUGACAUUACUACGGUGUUCAUAAUGUGUAAUUUCCUGUCCAGCAAUCUCACAGAAGGAUAUCAAUUUUUUUCGACAUUUUGAUGAUAAUCCCCAGUAACAAGACCAUGUUAUACCCUAUGAAAUAUCUCUUCUGGAGUCAGUUGAGAUUGCGGAUUCCAAGAUGCCGUAUUAAGAAGAAGGUAAACCAGGAAUCUCCUUCCUUUCUCCACAAGAGCAUUGCCAAGAUACAUCGGAACAAGAGACUCUUCAUCAAACUCAGGUUCUUAAAAUGUGGGUCAUUAGAGCAAAUACGAGUUGGAACACGGAACAGAAAGCAUCCCUAGACAUUAUUAGAAUAACUCUGCUUUGCAAUGCCCAUUGUAAUUUCUUAGCAGAAAAACACAUCAAAUGCAAACGUACACUGGGAAUCUAAACAAGUGCAAGGUCCUACAAGCCUGAUAACAUUAAAAAACACAUGCAUGUAUUUAGAAUAGAAUAGAAUAGAAUAGAAUAGA